AUACGGAGGGGACUAGCGUUGUUCGGAAUUACUGGGCGUAAAGAGUUCGUAGGCGGACUGAUAAGUAAGAGGUGAAAUCCCAGGGCUCAACCCUGGAACUGCCUUUUAAACUGUCAGUCUAGAGACCGGAAGAGGUUAGGGGAAUACCUAGUGUAGAAGUGAAAAUUGUAGAUAUUAGGUGGAACACCAGUGGCGAAGGCGCCUAACUGGUCCGGUACUGACGCUGAGGAACGAAAGCGUGGGGAGCAAACAGGAUUAGAUACCCUAGUAGUCC
rnacentral:rRNA from 1 species